rnacentral:rRNA from 1 species
GCAAAUUUACACCGUAACUUCGGGAGAAGGUGUGCCGCUGGCGGUUAGUGACUUCGCGUCACGAAGCUGUCGGUGGUCGCAGUGAAAUGGCGGUUGUGACUGUUUACUAAAAACACAGGACUCUGCGAAGUCGUAAGACGACGUAUAGGGUCUGAUGCCUGCCCGGUGCUGGAAGGUUAAGGGGAUAUGUCAGCGCAAGCGUAGCAUUGAACCGAAGCCCCAGUAAACGGCGGCCGUAACGAUAACGGUCCUAAGGUAGCGAAAUUCCUUGUCGGGCAAGUUCCGACCUGCACGAGGGCAUAACAACAUCCGCACUGUCUCGACCAGGGACUCAGCGAAAUUACAUUGGGGGUGAAGAUGCCCUCUACCCGCGGAAAGACGGAAAGACCCCAUGAACCUUUACUGCAACUUGGCAGUGAUUUUCGGGUUGUUCUGCGUAGGAUAGGUGGGAGGCUUUGAAGUCGGGCUUCCGGGUUCGACUGAGCCAACGUUGAAAUACCACCCUGAAUAAUCUGGAAAUCUAACCUGCGCCCAUGAUCUGGGCGAGGGACACUGCCUGGUGGGCAGUUUGACUGGGGCGGUCGCCUCCUAAAUUGCAACGGAGGCGUGCGACGGUUCCCUCAGGCUGAUUGGAAACCAGCCGUAGAGUGCAAACGCAUAAGGGAGCUUUACUGCGAGACUGACAAGUCGAACAGUUGCGAAAGCAGGUGUUAGUGAUCCGGUGGUACCACAUGGAAGGGCCAUCGCUCAUCGGAUAAAAGGUACUCUGGGGAUAACAGGCUGAUCGCGCCUGAGAGUUCACAUCGGCGGCGCGGUUUGGCACCUCGAUGUCGGCUCAUCGCAUCCUGGGGCUGGAGCAGGUCCCAAGGGUUUGGCUGUUCGCCAAUUAAAGCGGUACGCGAGCUGGGUUUAAAACGUCGUGAGACAGUUUGGUCCCUAUCUUCCGUGGGCGCAGGACACUUGAGAGGAGCUAUCCAUAGUACGAGAGGACCUGGAUGGACGAACCUCUGGUGCUCCGGUUGUCACGCCAGUGGCAUAGCCGGGUAGCCAUGUUCGGAACAGAUAACCGCUGAAGGCAUAUAAGCGGGAAGCUGGCCUCAAGACUAGGUGUCCCUGACGCAAGUCACUAAAGGCCCCUCGAAGACUACGAGGUUGAUAGGCUCGGUGUGUAAGCGCUGCAAGGCGCGGAGCUAACGAGUACUAAUAGGCCGUGCGACUUGACCUC